rnacentral:misc_RNA from 1 species
AAAUACUCCUAAAUAAUCAUCCAUCUUCACCACUCACUGCCCCUCUCUCUAAAUUUGUCUCUCCUCUCACAAUCUCUCUCUGUCUCUCUCCUCAGACACACUCUAUUUGUCUCUCUGUCUCACUCGGUUUCUCCCUCACACUCUCAAUCUCUCUCUCACACAAAUUUUCUCUCUCCUUUUCUCUCUGUACACCUAAACUUUCUGCUAUCCAUUCCCACAUAGAUCACAAAUAAAAAAUCAACCUUCAAAAAUCAAUGCAAUACAAAAAUCCACAAAAUGCAAAAUCACAAAUCAAAACCUCAAUUGCAAGCUUUACAUAUUGAUUUGAACAGAGUCAAACUAAUAGAGGAAUCAGCCACAGCAAAAGACAAAAAUUGCAAUUUUAACUAGUAGAGGAAGGGUAGUGACUAGA